rnacentral:rRNA from 1 species
GACGAACGCUGGCGGCGUGCUUAACACAUGCAAGUCGAACGGAAAGGCCCUGCUUUUGUGGGGUGCUCGAGUGGCGAACGGGUGAGUAACACGUGAGUAACCUGCCCUUGACUUUGGGAUAACUUCAGGAAACUGGGGCUAAUACCGGAUAGGAGCUCCUGCUGCAUGGUGGGGGUUGGAAAGUUUCGGCGGUUGGGGAUGGACUCGCGGCUUAUCAGCUUGUUGGUGGGGUAGUGGUUUACCAAGGCUUUGGCGGGUAGGCCGCCUGGGAGGGUGACCGGGGUCCAGACGACUGAGGGAGGGACAAGUCGGGAACAGGGGGCAGCGGGCGCAAGCAUGGCACAGUGAGCCGGAGUGGGAGACGACGGCGUUCGGUGCGGAAUGACGGUUUUUGGGUUGAGAAAAGCAGUCGCUUGUUACGAAGCGGGUGUGACGGUACCGGAUAAAUAAGCACCGGCUAACUACGUG